rnacentral:tRNA from 1 species
GCUUGGAUAGCUCAGUUGGUUGGAGCGUGGUGCUGAUAAUGCCAAUGUUACAGGUUCGAUCCUUGUAUGGGACA